rnacentral:rRNA from 1 species
CGGGGUGAGUAAUGCUUGGGAAUCUGGCUUAUGGAGGGGGGUAACUACGGGAAACUGUGGCUAAUACCGCGUAGUAUCGAGAGAUUAAAGUGUGGGACCUUCGGGCCACAUGCCAUAGGAUGAGCCCAAGUGGGAUUAGGUAGUUGGUGAGGUAAAGGCUCACCAAGCCGACGAUCUCUAGCUGGUCUGAGAGGAUGACCAGCCACACUGGGACUGAGACACGGCCCAG